ensembl:lncRNA
GCUCGGACUUGUGCAUUAAGUAUAAUAUUGUUUGACCAUAAAUAGUAGAAAACAAUGAGGUCCAGUGGGAGGACCAAUGAGAAGGAGGGAAGCAGCACAUCAAAUGCAGCUACCCCUGCCUUGGCCUCUUCUCCGACUGUACAGUCCUCCACAGGGGCCCUUGUGGAGUCAGACCAGCCUACUUCAUCCACGCCUGGACUGCAGGAUGAUAUUUCAUUUCUCUCUGAAUAUCUUGUGGAUCUCUCAGAAAAGAAUUGGGCUGCAUUCUGUCAGACAACUACUGGUCCUCUGACGAGGAUGGAGUUUUUCAGACUGUGCAUAAGCUUGAUGAGACAUGUGCAUGUGAGUUCGAUGAACCUUGUUCUCCCAGCCCUCAUCAAAAUGUUGAAAGAGGAACCAGAACGUUUCCCAUCUAUCCAAGAG